rnacentral:lncRNA from 1 species
AAAGAUGUGGCUGUUGACUUCACCUGGGAGGAGUGGAAGGACCUGGAUGACACUCAGAAGAUCCUGUACAGGGACAUAAUGCUGGAGACCUGCUGGUAUCCUUGGGACAUUGCAUGGUGAGACCUGAGGCACUUUUUAUUUGGAACAAGGAGCAGAGCCAUAAGUGGUAGAAACAAUGCCUGAUAUGGUUUGGCUGUGUCCCCACCCCAAAUCUCACCUUGAAUUGUAAUCCCCAUAAUCUCAUUAUCCCCAUGUGUCAAGGGAGGGACCAGUUGGAGGUAAUUGAAUCAUGGGGGUGGUUUUUCCCAUGCUGUUCUUGUGAUAGUAAGUGAGAGCUCACAAGAUCUGAUGGUUUUAUAAGUGUUUGGCAAGUUCUUCCUUUGGUCAUUCUCUCUCCUGCUUGUAAGGAAGGAACCUGCACCCCUUCACCUUCCACCACGAUUGUUAAGUUUCCUGAUGCCUUCCCAGCCAUGUAGAACUAUGAGCCAAUUAAACCUGUUUUCUUUGUAAAUUACCUAGUCUCAGGUAUUUCCUUAUAGCAAUUUGACAACAGACUAAUACACUGCCAAAACCAAGUCUCCCAGGUAUCCACCCAGUUGAUGACCUAAUUAAGAGGAGCCAAGAAAUUCACAGCAGACAUUUGUGGCAAAUUGCAAUCACACACCCACAUAUCAAGUAAGGAGAAAGUUGAAUUAUAAAAGGAAACGUAUAAUUUUAGCACAAACUAUAUCUUAAAUCUGAAUGUAAAUAAUAGAAACAGUUUGGUAAUGAGGCAUGAGGAGUUAACUGUACAUCAGAACAUGCUUUGCCUUAGUGAUCCUGAUGCAAUGGAGUCUUGAGAGAAUCUAGAUGCCUGUAAUUUAACUGUGAAAUGUAUCAGAAAUCAUGAGCAUUUCAGACAGCAUCAUAAAAUUCAAGCUGACAGCAAUAUUUUGAAUACAGUAGACAUUGCUUUAACAUGCAGGCAAUAUUAUGGACACAUGAUCAUAGUCAUAUGGGAGAGACCUCAUGUGGGUAUAAAGAAUAUGGAAAAUCUUGUGAUCAGUCAGCUCUCAUGUCCCAAGAGAUAUGUAAGUAGCAAAACUUUUCAGGAGAAAUCAAGACUCAGCUCAUUUCAGAGAAUACACAUGGGAGAAAAUCAUAUGUGUGUAAAGAAUGUGUGAAAACCUUUCAACUCAAGUCAAAUCUCAGAAAAUAUCAGGAUAUUCACACAAUCGAAAAAUUCUAUGAAUGUAAUGAGUGUGGGAAAACCUCCUGUUUGAAGGCAGUCCCCACUAGACAUCAGAUAACUCACAGGGGAAAAACCUUAUGAAUCUAGUGAAUAUGGAAAAGCUUUUCACUGGAAGUCUCACUUCAGGUUGCAUCCACUCAUUAACACAGGGGAAAUAUCCUAUAAAUGUCAUGAAUGUCAAAAAAAUUUUUCACUGGAAUGCAAACCUCAGGAAGUCUCAGGCUAUUCACAGGGGAAAAAUCUUAUGAAUGUAAGGAAUGUGGGAAAACCUCCUGUGAGAAGAGAGGCCUCGCCACACUUCAGAGAACUCACAGACGCAAUAAACCUUAUGAAUGAGAUGAAAGUGGAGGCUGGACGCCAAGCCUCAGGAAUCCUCAUGGCAUCCAAACUUGGAAAAAACCUAUGAAUGUCAUGAAUGUUGGAAAAUCUUUUGGCCAGAAGUCACACCUCAGCAGACAUCAGAGAACUCUCACUGGGGAGUAAAAACCUAUGAACAUCGUGAGUAUUGGAGAACACUUUGAACUGGUUACUCAUCACUAGACACAGAAAACUCACAAGUGGAAACCCUUAUGAAUGUAAUAAACAUGGAAAAGCCUUUUGCCAGACA